rnacentral:rRNA from 1 species
CUGCGCCGAAAAUGUACCGGGGCUAAACAUAUUACCGAAGCUGUGGAGUACACCUUUAGGUGUAUUGGUAGGAGAGCGUUCUAAGGGCGUUGAAGGCAGAUCGUGAGGACUGCUGGAGCGCUUAGAAGUGAGAAUGCCGGUAUGAGUAGCGAAAGACAGGUGAGAAUCCUGUCCACCGAAUGACUAAGGUUUCCUGGGGAAGGCUCGUCCGCCCAGGGUUAGUCGGGACCUAAGCCGAGGCCGACAGGCGUAGGCGAUGGAUAACAGGUUGAUAUUCCUGUACCCGUUGUUUUUGUUUGAGCAAUGGAGGGACGCAGGAGGCUAAGGAAUGCAGACGAUCGGAAAUGUCUGUCCAAGCAGUAAGUCUGAAGAGGAGUCAAAUGCUUCUUUUCUUAAGGACAAGCUGUGAUGGGGAGGGAAAUAAUAGUACCGAAGUUCCUGAUGUCACACUGCCGAGAAAAGCUUCUAGUGAGAAAACAGCGGCCCGUACCGCAAACCGACACAGGUAGUCGAGGAGAGAAUCCUAAGGUGAGCGAGAGAACUCUCGUUAAGGAACUCGGCAAAAUGACCCCGUAACUUCGGGAGAAGGGGUGCUGAUCAUACGAUCAGCCGCAGUGAAUAGGCCCAAGCGACUGUUUAUCAAAAACACAGGUCUCUGCAAAAUCGUAAGAUGAAGUAUAGGGGCUGACGCCUGCCCGGUGCUGGAAGGUUAA